rnacentral:lncRNA from 1 species
CGUGUUCACAACGCUCAUGGGUGGUUCCUUGGUGGGAUCCGCCGUGCAUAUAAACACAUCAAGCGCUGGGUAAUCACUUCUUUUAAUAACCUUGUCAAGGUUUUCGGGGAAUUCUUUGCGUUGGAUUGGAUACAGACGAGAAGCCUGACCUGUGGACUACAUGAAGGCAAGAACAAGAUCGGAGAUAAACAGUAUGAGGUUUAUGAAGAAGGAGACCAGUGUUGUGGAGCUGAUCAGGAGUCUUUGUAAGUGGUGAUAAAACAGAGCUAAAAGCGCACACAAGUAAACUAAGGCAAAUACGCGGUUGAAUUUCACGAUAGGGAGAAGCUGAACCGAGUGCAACGGAUGAAUAUGGGUUGUUUUGGCGGUGAUGCAGCUUUCUGGCCUUGGACCCUCCAUGUUUUCGGGUUGAAUGUGAAGUAGAAAAAGAGAUGAUCGUAUGUGCUCAUUUAUAUAUAGGAAACACAGUAAGACACGUGCAAGCAUACCAACAAAUAUAAUCCUCAUGCAAGGAUUCGUAAGAUUAGCAAUAUUUUCUUUUAGCAAGUUUGUAAGCUUUAGAAUUGAUUUCUGCAGAAAUGUAUAAUUUUGAAGUUAAAUAUAAUCUCUUGCAUUUAUGUAAUUUCAAUUAAAAAUCGAGAUCACAGUUUUAAAAAUAAUUUCAGUAUUAUUAAUUAAGGUCUCCGCUAAGGUGUUACUGAAAGUUAUGAAUAGGAGAGUCAAAUGAAAAGAUAAUAAAAUUUUUUAAUUUAUAUGAUUUAAAAAUAAUUUUUAAUUUAUGCUAUUAUAGAGUUUUUAAAGUUUCAAAGAAGAGUUUUUUUUUUUUUUUUACAUAGAUGUUGUCAUCACAGAUAUUGAUUUUACAAAUAUAAAUAAUUAAGAAGCAGUUUGAUCGUAAAAAUAUACAAGUGAUAGGAUCCCUUAACAAUCUUAUUUGUCUUUAUAGUGCAAUGUAAAGCAUAAGACAUCCUAGUUACUAAAAAUGAAAGAAGCUACUAUGUAAAGAGCCCAUGUCAGAAAUGCUGCAGUGAGAGUAAUCUUGACAGGCAAUUUUCCUUUAUCAAUUCUGAAGACCAUUGCUCCAUAGAUUGGCCAACAAUUCACAACCCCAAAUCCUGCUAUGAACAUUUGGAUCACGAGUCCCUCCAAAGAAUCGCUGCCCUUGAGAAAUUGUCCUAGACCCAGAAUAAGUGCCACUAAGUUGAUCAUUGCUGCCAUUGUUAGCGUAACAAACAUGGGCGACGACACUCCAAAAUCAAAGAUUCCUUGUUCGUAUCUCUUACUUUGCUCGUCAUCAACUACUUUGCUGGUCAAACUGAAGCCAAGAGUCGAAAUGCCAAAGGACUUGAGCAAGAAUUCAAAUGAUCCAAACAAAAAACAUGUGAGUCCUCUUAUGGUCCAAAUCCUUUGAUCAUUCCACCACAUUUGGAAUGUCCCCUUAGCAGAGACGAAGUCGAAAUAAUCCUGCCCAUAUGCCCCCAGGAAAAGAAAUGGAUACAGGAGAAACCAUGGUUCUGAGACCUGCAAUGCAUUUUUCAAUUCCCUAAGAAACUUGCAGAAGGCUUAAACCAAUGCAAUUGAGAUGCCCUUUUCCAUUAAAUAUGCUGUGGAACUUUUCCUAAUGAUUUUGGAAGCUGCAUACCUUUGGGAAGAUGCGAACUUGAUUGAUGAGAGCUAGCUGGGGGAGAAAAGCAUAUGUGCUUAUCGGAAUUGACCAAAUAGGCCAGAAUACAUACUGUGAGUAAAGUAGGGACAUAAGAAGACCCAUAUGUUUGAUGCCAUAUAUCAAUGGGCUAUAUUUUGAGAACCCCACCUCAAAGACGCCAAUAACCCACCGCUUCUGUUGGUUCAACAAAUCUACCAAGCUGAUGGGGGCAUGCCCCAGAAACGAUGGUCUAUUUGGAUUGCAAAAUAUGGACCUCCAACCCUCACAAUGCAUUUGAUAACCUGUAAAGAGGUCCUCAACUAACGACCCAUAUCGAAAGCCCAUCUGUAUUCGCAAUUAUAUUAGGCAAAUAUUCACGGGUCCGAAAGUGAUAAACUAAACGAUUAGGUUCAUAAACUUACCUUGAAGCCCCAGGUGGUUUGUUUCUCAUAAUUGCAAUCGGCCACAUGAUGAGCCAAUGCCAAGACUUCUGAGGACUGUAUGGGCUUGUCUACCUCAUGACUUGGACUCAAUCCAGGGAUUUCUGGGCAAACAAAGUUGGAUGGACCACCAAAGAAUGCUCUCCUGGAGAAGAAGCAGUUGGUCCCAAAAUAAUCGACACCCCCUAGCCCAUCGAACCCCAUGGGUUGAAUUUCAAACGCACGUUUAAAUUGACAAGCAUAUAUGUCAUUUUUGUUAAUCCCUUGAAAAUGUUGUGGAAAUUGAAUGUAUGAAUAUUUAGCAUAAAUUUCAGGAUCCAAAUAGUAACACAAAACCCUUUUUAGAGUAUGCGGAUCAUUAGACUGCAUGUCACAGUCUAGAGUCAAGAUUACGGAUGCAUUGGUCAUGACAGCAGAUACUCGUAGCUUCAAAAUAAUUUGAUAAAAAAAUAAUAAUAAGUUAUCAAUUCUACACUUAAAAUUUUAAAGAAAAAUAUAACUGGUAAAGUGAGACAGCAUACCAAAACAUUUAAAGCACCGGCUUUAAAACGAUGAUGUUCAGAAGUGCUCUUCUCUCUAGAAAUAUAAAUUAAAUUAGGCAUAAAAUGCCCACUAACAUCCUUGUUCUUAUUAUUUGCUAUUAAAAUCUGCUUAAAGUUAAUGUAAUUGUUAGUAUAAUACGAAAAUGGUUAAUUAAAAUAAAAAAGCAAAUAAAAUCAUAAUUAAGAAAAUGCAAACCUGAAUAACAUUAGGAUGAUUUUGAAUGGUAAAUUUAUGAGUCCAUUGAUUGAAAAUCUUGUGUUCUUCAUCACUAGUAAUAUACUCAUCUUCAAUUGCUCCCUUCUCCAUGACAUGCUCCACCCUUGCUUUCAUGCUCUCAUACAUCAUCUGUCACACACAACUUAAUUUUCUCAUCUAUUAUUCUAACACAAAAUACCAGUUUCUUAAUUAUUCAUAUUAAAUGUCUUUGCUUUUUCAUUUCUUCUUGGUUGAUGACCUUUUCUCAUUCAAGACAACCUGGAAAACCCAUGCUAUUGCACCAUCGUCAAUUACCAUUGCAAAAACAUUAUAUUGUUUUAAAUAUUUUUUCGCACAUCCUUCGUCUGUUUAAUGAAGCCUUUAUUUGGUUGAUAAGAAAAAAUAUAAAAAUAUGUUAAUAUAUUUUUAAAAAAUAUAAAAAUUAACUUAAAUAGUGAUAAUAUUUAAAAAUUAAAUAAUAAAUUUCACUUUAUACAAAUACUAUUAUAUUAUUUAAGGGACCUUUAUAAAUUAAAAUUGAUGGGUGGCACCUGGCUAAGAAUCAGAAUGAAUUUUAAUUUGUUACGAUUCUGUAUAUAUGUAUGCAUUUUUAUUUUUUAAUUUAAUCAGGAUGACAUCGUCUAAUCAACCUUUUACCUUUUGAAUCUAUCUUCAUUUCGGCUGUAUUAGCACCGCACGGCACUAGGUACAUGAAUACAAGCUCCAUGUUUUUUUAAAAAUAAAAAUAACAAAAAAUUCCUAGACAAAAUAAAAUAUUUAUCCCAUAAAAAUUAAAAUCACAACUUUUCUUUAAGCCAAUUUAUGAGAUAGUAACUAUAAUUUAGUCUCUUUUUAAAUACUACAUUUAUUCCGUGACAAAUAUUGUUUUAGAGGUUUUCUUUCCUCAAAUUAUUAGUUAUUUGAGAAUUUUUUAAUUAACUUGUGUAAUUAAAUAAUAUUGUGGAUUAGUUUCGACUUAGCAUUUUAAUUAACUUAUGUAACAGCAUGAAAUAUUGCAAAAUGAAAGAUUAAGAACCGGUGGUUUAAUAAUUACCUUAAUCUCCACAGUUUCAGAUGAAGAAGAAUAAUUUGAUUCAAAAUAGGAUUCAGGGCUCCUCCGCAUAACAUUGUUCCUUCUGCAAAAUGGUAACCAGUGCUCGGCGAACUUAGCCGCCUCCAUGAAAGCAAAAAGAGUAAGUGCAGAGCCUCCAUCAUCCGAUACAUACACCGAAAGCUUCUCUGUUAGAUAAUCGUAACCCAUAACUGAUAAAGCCGUGUUCACUACGCUCAUGGGUGGUUCCUUGGUGGGAUCCGCUGUGCAUAUAAACACAUCUACAGCUGGGUAAUCACUUCUUUUAACAACCUUAUCAAGGUUUUCGGGGAAUUCUUCGCGUUGGAUUGGAUACAGACGAGCAGCCUGAGCUGUGGACCACAUGAAGGCAAGAACAAGAUCGGAGAUAAACAGUAUGAGGUUUAUGAAGAAAGAGACCAGUGUUAUGGAGCUGAGGAGUCUUUGUAAAUGAUGAUAAAACAAAGCUAGAAGGGCACACAAGUAAACUAAGGCAAAUACG